ACUCCUACGGGAGGCAGCAGUGGGGAAUUUUGGACAAUGGGCGAAAGCCUGAUCCAGCAAUGCCGCGUGAGUGAAGAAGGCCUUCGGGUUGUAAAGCUCUUUUGUCAGGGAAGAAACGGUGAGAGCUAAUAUCUUUUGCUAAUGACGGUACCUGAAGAAUAAGCACCGGCUAACUACGUGCCAGCAGCCGCGGUAAUACGUAGGGUGCAAGCGUUAAUCGGACUUACUGGGCGUAAAGCGUGCGCAGGCGGUUUUGUAAGUCGGAUGUGAAAUCCCCGGGCUCAACCUGGGAAUUGCAUUGGAGACUGCAAGGCUAGAAUCUGGCAGAGGGGGGUAGAAUUCCACGUGUAGCAGUGAAAUGCGUAGAUAUGUGGAGGAACACCGAUGGCGAAGGCAGCCCCCUGGGUCAAGAUUGACGCUCAUGCACGAAAGCGUGGGGAGCAAACAGGAUUAGAAACCCUUGUAGUCCCA
rnacentral:rRNA from 1 species